UACGGAGGGUGCAAGCGUUAUCCGGAUUCACUGGGUUUAAAGGGUGCGUAGGUGGGUUUGUAAGUCAGUGGUGAAAUCUCCAAGCUUAACUUGGAAACUGCCGUUGAUACUAUAAAUCUUGAAUGUUGUGGAGGUGAGCGGAAUAUGUCAUGUAGCGGUGAAAUGCUUAGAUAUGACAUAGAACACCAAUUGCGAAGGCAGCUCACUACACAAAUAUUGACACUGAGGCACGAAAAGCGUGGGGAUCAAACAGGA
rnacentral:rRNA from 1 species